rnacentral:rRNA from 1 species
CGAACGCGAAAGUCCCGCAAGGGAUUAGUAGAGUGGCAAACGGGUGAGUAACGCGUGGGUGACCUGCCUUCGAGCGGGGGAUAACGUUCCGAAAGGGACGCUAAUACCGCAUAACAUCCUGCCUUUUAAGAGGUGGAGAUCAAAGCCUGGGACCGCAAGGCCAGGCACUCGAAGAGGGGCCCGCGUCCGAUUAGCUAGUUGGUGGGGUAAUGGCUCACCAAGGCUCCGAUCGGUAUCCGGCCUGAGAGGGCGGACGGACACACUGGGACUGAGACACGGCCCAGACUCCUACGGGAGGCAGCAGUGGGGAAUUGUUCGCAAUGGGCGCAAGCCUGACGACGCAACGCCGCGUGGAGGAUGAAGAUCUUCGGGUCGUAAACUCCUUUCGAUCGAGACGAACGACUUCCGGGUAACAUCCGGGAGAGUGACGGUACCGAGAGAAGAAGCCCCGGCUAACUCCGUGCCAGCAGCCGCGGUAAUAC